rnacentral:rRNA from 1 species
AGCCGCGUGAAGGAUGAAGGCCCUCUGGGUCGUAACUUCUUUUAUUAGGGAAGAAACCUCAAGAUGCGUCUUGAGCUGACGGUACUUAAUGAAUAAGGAUCGGCUAACUUCGUGCCAGCAGCCGCGGUAAGACGAAGGAUCCAAGCGUUGUCCGGAUUUACUGGGUUUAAAGGGUGCGUAGGCGGAAAAUUAAGUCAGUGGUGAAAGCCCGCAGCUCAACUGUGGAACUGCCAUUGAAACUGGUUUUCUUGAAUAUAGCUGAGGCAGAUGGAAUAUAACAUGUAGCGGUGAAAUGCUUAGAUAUGUUAUAGAACACCGAUUGCGAAGGCAGUCUGCUAAACUAUUAUUGACGCUGAGGCACGAAAGCGUGGGGAGCGAACAGGAUUAGAUACCCUGGUAGUCCACGCCCUAAACGUUGAUUACUCGCUGUUGGCGAUAUACUGUCAGUGGCUAAGCGAAAGCAUUAAGUAAUCCACCUGGGAAGUACGACCGCAAGGUUGAAACUCAAAGGAAUUGACGGGGGCCCGCACAAGCGGAGGAGCAUGUGGUUUAAUUCGAUGAUACGCGAGAAACCUUACCUGGGCUUAAAUGUCAGGUGACCGCUGCCGAAAGGUGGCUUCCCUUCGGGGCAACUGGCAAGGUGCUGC